rnacentral:rRNA from 1 species
UAACACGUGAGUAACCUGCCCCUGACUCUGGGAUAAGCGUUGGAAACGACGUCUAAUACUGGAUAUGAUCACUGGCCGCAUGGUCUGGUGGUGGAAAGAUUUUUUGGUUGGGGAUGGACUCGCGGCCUAUCAGCUUGUUGGUGAGGUAAUGGCUCACCAAGGCGACGACGGGUAGCCGGCCUGAGAGGGUGACCGGCCACACUGGGACUGAGACACGGCCCAGACUCCUACGGGAGGCAGCAGUGGGGAAUAUUGCACAAUGGGCGAAAGCCUGAUGCAGCAACGCCGCGUGAGGGAUGACGGCCUUCGGGUUGUAAACCUCUUUUAGUAGGGAAGAAGCGAAAGUGACGGUACCUGCAGAAAAAGCACCGGCUAACUACGUGCCAGCAGCCGCGGUAAUACGUAGGGUGCAAGCGUUGUCCGGAAUUAUUGGGCGUAAAGAGCUCGUAGGCGGUUUGUCGCGUCUGCUGUGAAAUCCCGAGGCUCAACCUCGGGCUUGCAGUGGGUACGGGCAGACUAGAGUGCGGUAGGGGAGAUUGGAAUUCCUGGUGUAGCGGUGGAAUGCGCAGAUAUCAGGAGGAACACCGAUGGCGAAGGCAGAUCUCUGGGCCGUAACUGACGCUGAGGAGCGAAAGCAUGGGGAGCGAACAGGAUUAGAUACCCUGGUAGUCCAUGCCGUAAACGUUGGGCGCUAGAUGUAGGGACCUUUCCACGGUUUCUGUGUCGUAGCUAACGCAUUAAGCGCCCCGCCUGGGGAGUACGGCCGCAAGGCUAAAACUCAAAGGAAUUGACGGGGGCCCGCACAAGCGGCGGAGCAUGCGGAUUAAUUCGAUGCAACGCGAAGAACCUUACCAAGGCUUGACAUACACCGGAAACGGCCAGAGAUGGUCGCCCCCUUGUGGUCGGUGUACAGGUGGUGCAUGGUUGUCGUCAGCUCGUGUCGUGAGAUGUUGGGUUAAGUCCCGCAACGAGCGCAACCCUCGUUCUAUGUUGCCAGCGGGUUAUGCCGGGGACUCAUAGGAGACUGCCGGGGUCAACUCGGAGGAAGGUGGGGAUGACGUCAAAUCAUCAUGCCCCUUAUGUCUUGGGCUUCACGCAUGCUACAAUGGCCGGUACAAAGGGCUGCGAUACCGUAAGGUGGAGCGAAUCCCAAAAAGCCGGUCUCAGUUCGGAUUGAGGUCUGCAACUCGACCUCAUGAAGUCGGAGUCGCUAGUAAUCGCAGAUCAGCAACGCUGCGGUGAAUACGUUCCCGGGCCUUGUACACACCGCCCGUCAAGUGAUGAAAGUCGGUAACACCCGAAGCCGGUGGCCUAACCC